rnacentral:rRNA from 1 species
GUGCCAGCAGCCGCGGUAACACGUAGGGUGCGAGCGUUGUCCGGAAUUAUUGGGCGUAAAGAGCUCGUAGGCGGUGUGUCACGUCGGCCGUGAAAACUUGGGGCUUAACUCUGAGCGUGCGGUCGAUACGGGCAUCACUUGAGUUCGGUAGGGGAGACUGGAAUUCCUGGUGUAGCGGUGAAAUGCGCAGAUAUCAGGAGGAACACCGGUGGCGAAGGCGGGUCUCUGGGCCGAUACUGACGCUGAGGAGCGAAAGCGUGGGGAGCGAACAGGAUUAGAUACCCUGGUAGUCC